GCCCAGACUCCUACGGGAGGCAGCAGUGGGGGAUAUUGCACAAUGGGGGAAACCCUGAUGCAGCGACGCCGCGUGAGUGAAGAAGUAUUUCGGUAUGUAAAGCUCUAUCAGCAGGGAAGAAGAUGACAGUACCUGAGUAAGAAGCCCCGGCUAACUACGUGCCAGCAGCCGCGGUAAUACGUAGGGGGCAAGCGUUAUCCGGAUUUACUGGGUGUAAAGGGAGCGUAGACGGUUAUGUAAGUCUGGAGUGAAAGCCCAGGGCUUAACCCUGGGACUGCUUUGGAAACUGUUAGACUAGAGUGCUGGAGAGGUAAGUGGAAUUCCUAGUGUAGCGGUGAAAUGCGUAGAUAUUAGGAGGAACACCAGUGGCGAAGGCGGCGUACUGGACAGUAACUGACGUUGAGGCUCGAAAGCGUGGGGAGCAAACAGGAUUAGAUACCCGGGUACAA
rnacentral:rRNA from 1 species